ACACCAUUUAGUUCAUACCGAAUUUGAUCAAACAUAUACCCCACACAAUUAUUGCUAAGUCUAGAGUUUGGCGAAAUUUCUCUAUUUGCUUUUCUCAAAUAAUGUACAAGUAGCUUUCCGACGGUAAUAUGUAAAGAUCUUGAUUUUGUACGCUUAUGCGUAUUACAUCAUUUAAAAGAUUGGAUAUGACAACUUUAUGUUGAAUGUUUAUUAUUAUUUCUAGACGACUUAUUUCCUUGACGUUCACCGGCAAAUAAAUAAGAUUCAGCGACCGCAUCUAAUUCGUAUCCUGGUGGAACAUCUAGAGAAAAUUCAUGCAGAAUAUGUGCAGUGAACUUAGAAACAGUAUAAAAUUAUUGUUUGUAACAACAUCAAUGUUAUCACGUUGAAGGAAGAGGACUUGUAAACAAAUUAAUCGAUUCUUUACCAGUGGAACUUCAUCUACCUGGCUAUCAAUUUUGUGGUCCUGGAACUAAGCUUAAAAACGAUUGGAGAGAGGGGAUAAUGGUGAUAAUCCCUUGGAUGAAGCUUGUAAAGAGCACGAUAUCGCUUAUUCACAAAACGAAAAUAUUAAGCAACGACACAUUGCAGAUCUUAAGCUAGCUGAAAAAGCGUGGGAAGCAAAAGAUAGCAGUGUUUGAGAAAAAUAUAAUGCAUAUCUCGUCACAAAUAUAAUGAAGGCAAAAUCCAAACUUGGAAUGGGGUUGACAAAUACAAAACUUAAACAACUUACUGGUCAAGAGAUUUUCAAUAAUGCUCUCAAGAAUACUACAAAGUAGCAAACUAACAGAAAUUGAUGAUGCCAUUAAAAUGACAAGAAAAUAGAUUCAAAAAACAUUCCGUGGGAGAAAGUCAAAGGUUAUUAUACCUAGAGUUAUUAAGCUUUCAAAUAUAGGGGGAUUUCUUCCUCUUAUACCCUUUCUAACAGGUUUAGGAGCUUUGGCGUCGUCGACAUGAAUGCCAAAAAAGCUAAACAACAAUUGGAAAAACAAUCCAGCACAAUAAAACCAUAGAAGCUAAGCAAUGGGAAAAGGACUGUAUUUAAAACCAUACAAAAAAGGUUAUGGCAUAUAUAUGAACUAUAAUUCAAAAAAUAAUAAAGCAGCUACCUAAAGGCCCACUUACUGAUAAACAAAUAUACACUUUUGGGACAAAAUAUAUUCCACAUUGCAGAGGUGUUUAUAUGCGCAACAGAUUACCGAAAAUACCAUAUAAGAAAGAAUGUGGAAUAAUAAAUUUAGAUGAUGAGAUGGGGUCAGGAACACAUUGGGUUGCAUAUUACAAAGAUAGCAAUAGAAUUGAAUAUUAUGAUAGUUUCGGAAAUCUCCAACCUCCCCUAGAAGUAUUAUACUACUUGGGGCCGAAUAUCACUUAUAAUUAUAAAAGGGACCAACAGUUCAACACAUACAAUUGUGGUCAUCUAUGUUUAAAAUUCUUAAUGAGAUUAGAGCAAUACAUAUGAAUUCAUUAGUUUCAUUUAACACUUCCACAAAGAUGCAUUCAAUUGAUCGAUCAUGGAAACCACAAGUAUAUAUUUAUGAAGGACCUUGCCUUUAUGUGUGGUGUUUCUGUUGUUCCAAAUCAUUUUUUGUUUCGUCCACCUUUUAAUAUAAAAUAACUCACGGACGAGGCAUGUAGAACAAAUAUAUACUGCAAAAACUAUGUAAAUGGAAUAGACUGGAUGGAUUGAGAGGUUGACUACAGCGGCGAUGAGAGUGUACUUGCACCAUUAAAUGAAAAUUGGAAGAGAUAAAAAACGAUUUUUGGAGAAAUAUAUCUAUACAAAUAUUGUAAAUUUAGAAGAUAAAAUUAAAGUAAGAACGUGUCGAAAUUAUUUUGCUAACUGUUCUAUUCAUUCAGAAUUUGGAUUUAAAUACGCCAUAACAUUACUUAAAAUAUUUGUAUUUAAAAUAUUUGUAUUAGACAUAUAUAC
rnacentral:sRNA from 1 species